rnacentral:rRNA from 2 species
GGACUACACGGGUAUCUAAUCCUGUUCGCUCCCCACGCUUUCGCGCCUCAGCGUCAGUAUCAUGCCAGGUGGCUGCCUUCGCCAUUGACGUUCCUUCCGAUCUCUACGCAUUUCACCGCUACACCGGAAAUUCCGCCACCCUCUCAUGUACUCUAGCCUGACAGUUUGCGAUGCACUUCCCAGGUUAAGCCCGGGGCUUUCACACCACACACGUCAUGCCGCCUACGCGCCCUUUACACCCAGUAACUCCGAUUAACGCUCGCACCCCCUGUAUUACCGCGGCGGCUGGCAC